AUUGAACGCUGGCGGCAGGCCUAACACAUGCAAGCCGAACGGUAGCACAGAGAGCUUGCUCUCGGGUGACGAGUGGCGGACGGGUGAGUAACGUCUGGGAAACUGCCCGAUGGAGGGGGAUAACUACUGGAAACGGUAGCUAAUACCGCAUAACGUCGCAAGACCAAAGUGGGGGACCUUCGGGCCUCACACCAUCGGAUGUGCCCAGAUGGGAUUAGCUAGUAGGUGGGGUAAUGGCUCACCUAGGCGACGAUCCCUAGCUGGUCUGAGAGGAUGACCAGCCACACUGGAACUGAGACACGGUCCAGACUCCUACGGGAGGCAGCAGUGGGGAAUAUUGCACAAUGGGCGCAAGCCUGAUGCAGCCAUGCCGCGUGUAUGAAGAAGGCCUUCGGGUCGUAAAGUACUUUCAGCGGGGAGGAAGGCGGUGAAGUUAAUAACUUCACCGAUUGACGUUACCCGCAGAAGAAGCACCGGCUAACUCCGUGCCAGCCGCCGCCGUAA
rnacentral:rRNA from 1 species